UAAACGUCUCAGUUCGGACUGUAGUCUGCAACCCGACUACACGAAGCUGGAAUCGCUAGUAAUCGCGAAUCAGAAUGUCGCGGUGAAUACGUUCCCGGGUCUUGUACACACCGCCCGUCACACCAUGGGGAGUCGGGAAUGCCCGAAGCCGGUGACCUAACCGAAAGGAAGGAGCCGUCGAAGGCAGGUCUGAUAACUGGGGUGAAGUCGUAACAAGGUAAC
rnacentral:rRNA from 1 species